AACUCUAGACACAAAUUAAAAUAAUACAAGCUUCAUAUUACAAGCCAGGGGCCUCGAGGGCUCGAAUACAAGCUCGAUACACAAGAGUCAGCAGAAGCAACAAUAUCUGAGUACAGACAUAAGUUAGACAAGGAUGCCUUAAGAAGGCUAGCACAAAAGCAACACGAUCGAAGAGGCAAGGCCUCCUGCCUGGGACCUCCUAACUACUCCUGGUCGUCGGCGGUCUCCACGUAGUAGCAUCCGUCGGCAGUGGCAUCUGACUCCAGGGAUCCACCAUCUGGUUGCAUCAACCGGAAAGAAGAAGGAAGGGGGAAAAGGGGGUAGCAAAGCAACCGUGAGUACUCAUCCAAAGUACUCGCAAGCAUCAGAUCUAAACUAAGUAUGCAUUGGUAUCAAAGGAAGGGUUGUAUAUGUGGACUGAACUGCAGAAUGCCAGAAUAGAGGGGAAGAUCUAGCCUAUCGAAGACUAGCAUCUUCAAGCAGCUCCAAGCAUCUUGCAACAUGUAGAAGAGUAAAGAAUAGCAGUUUAUAUUUAACAAACAUGUUGUAACAUUAAUGCCCAUAGAUCCUUCCUCAACUCCCUGCGAGAAAGCAAUCCCGGAGCCACAUAUCCAUCACAUAUCAAGUAUCCAUUUCUAGUUGUAUAAGAUCAGGAUACAAGUCUGAAUGUCCAUUACCGUGGACACGGUAUUCGAAUAUAUAUCUUCCCUGCAGGGGUGCACCACGUUUUCCCACACGCUCGAUCUCUCUGGCCGGACACACCUUUUUGGGGUCAAUGCCCGGCCUCAGAAUAUCAACACGUCACAAACCUACCUAGGCUCAGCAGAGAGGUCCCCGCCGGUCUACAUCCUAAGCACUCCGGGGUCUGGGCCCAUCGCCCGGUGCACUCCGGGUCGUUGCGAGCAGGGCGAUACAGGCCACCUCCACUGGGGCGCCGACCAGGCCGUGCCGCAAUGCUGAACUGGACGUCUGACAAAGCUUCGGCUGAUACCACGACGUCGAGGCCCAUAACUAUUCUCGCGUGGUGGUUAGUGCGUAAAGUCCCGAGGCCAACUCAGAACAAAUACUCAAACCUAUUAGUGCAUUAACAAUUAAAGUAGUGACGGCUGUCGGGACAAGUCCGGAGCUAUCACCCCUCCUGGGUGAUACCGCUAAAUAGCCAGCCGCCACCGUCACAUCGCACGGGUGCUCUCCGGGCCCGCCCGGCUUUCACAACGGUCUCAAGUAAAGUCAAGGUAACUGUGUGUCCAGACAUCAAGGGGAAAACCCGAGGAAUCACCCCCGGUGGAUUCCACUCAAUGUAAUCAUCAAGGUGAACGUAAGAGGGACCACCCUCGAGGUUCACACUUGAGGUGUUGCACGACAGAGCCGUAUCGGGAAUGGUGAAAUAGGAAAUCACCCUCGAUGACCACGACCGAAUAGCUACACUACAGAAUUAUCAUCAGGAGUGCGUUAUGAGGGAUCACCCUCGGCACUCGAUAGUAGCUCUGCAGAGUCGAGCAACAAAAGGGGCGUGAUGUGAUGUGAGGUGUCGGGCUCUGGUCGUCGAUCAUGUUGGUCGAGUCAUCGAUGAUGAAGCAGGGGCAACAAGGACAAGGUGGGGGUCACUGAUGGAUCACUAACCAACCUAUACUAAGCAGUUUAGGAUAAGCAGGUAGAUAACAAUAAGCAGGUUACAAAAGUAGGCUAUGCAUCAGAAUAGGAGCAAUCAAAUACAGUAGCAAAAUCUAAUGCAAGCAUGAGAGAAUGGAAUGGGCGNNNNNNNNNNNNNNNNNNNNNNNNNNNNNNNNNNNNNNNNNNNNNNNNNNNNNNNNNNNNNNNNNNNNNNNNNNNNNNNNNNNNNNNNNNNNNNNNNNNNNNNNNNNNNNNNNNNNNNNNNNNNNNNNNNNNNNNNNNNNNNNNNNNNNNNNNNNNNNNNNNNNNNNNNNNNNNNNNNNNNNNNNNNNNNNNNNNNNNNNNNNNNNNNNNNNNNNNNNNNNNNNNNNNNNNNNNNNNNNNNNNNNNNNNNNNNNNNNNNNNNNNNNNNNNNNNNNNNNNNNNNNNNGAGGGGUCGUCGUCGACGUAGUCGAUCACGUGGGCAUCAACAGCGGUCUCGGGGUCUACCAGAGAGAAGAGGGGGAAGAAACAGUAAAUACAUAGCAAGCAAGAGCAUAACAGGACAACAGGCAGAGCUAGACGUGUUCUAACACGGUGCUACACGAUACCGACGAAGGGGGGAAACAUCCGGGAAUGUUUCCCGAAGUUUGCAUUUUCGGACAGGCGAAACGGAGGAGGACGGUUGCAGGUUUGCUAUGCUAGAGACGUGUGGCAGACGAACGGGCUGCAUAUUCAGAUUCGUCUCGCCGUUCUGAGCAUCUUUCAUGUAUAAAACUUUUUCAUCCGAGUUACGGAUCAAUUUCUAUGGAUUUCUAAAGUUUUAGCAAUUUCUAGAUUUUUAAAUUACUUUUAAUUUGAGUUGACCAAGUCAAUUUGACUAGUCAAAAAGGAGAGCUGUGACCCACAUGUCAUGGACUAUUUACCUAAAAAAUAAGUAAACCUAACUUAUUUAAUGGGGGCCUACAUGUCAUCUACUAGUACUAGACUAACUUAGCACCAGUUUAUACUACUAGCUAAACCUAGUACUAAGAAGGGCCGGCCACACACGGCCGUGGCCAAGCCGGCCACACACACACCACACACCCACCACGUAGCUAGGGGUUAAUUCUGUUCUCAGUUAACAGAACAUAGCAUUUUGCGAUUUUCAUAGGAUUUAAUCCAGGCAUCGAAAGGAUUUGGUUCAGUGGGAUAAAAUGAAGUUUGUCAUGUAUACUUUCUACUUAUAUUAUCUUUGCUCAUGUUCGUAGUUGGCAGCCACCGUUUAAGGACUGCUUAGAGGGUUAGUCAUUAUAAAAAUAGAAAAGCUAGCUAGUAGCUACAGUAGCUACAAGUUCAGUAAGCAGUGGCAGUUGUAGGAUGCAGCAGCAGCGCUGUGCUAACAAGUAGCUGCAGGCGACGACAGCAGCAGGAGGCGGGCGUGGACGGCAGGGGAGGGAUCAGCGGGCAGCGGCGCCCGAGGCCACGAGCAGGCGAGCACGGCUAGGGGGAUUGCGGGCGCAGCGGGGCGGGGCGUGGUCCAGGGGCACGAGGCCGCAGCAGGGAACGCGGCUAGCGCGGCGGGAGCGAGGCUAGAGGCAGACACAGCCGGCACGGUGGGGGGUCGGCCGGGCGUGGCCAAGGCGCGUGGGCGCGCAGCCAGGAAGCGGCCUGGAGCACGAGGCAGGGAGGCACCUGGGGCAAGGCCAUGGCUCGGUGAGCGCGAGUUCGGUCGAAGCUCGCGUGGCGCGGGGUUGGGAAACGACACAUCAAACAGAGGGAAGACAAAGGGAAUCGACGCGGGCUCACCCUGGGGAGGCCAUGGACGAGCUUGCCGAGGUUGGGGAGUUUCCGUCGAGGAGAUCCGGCGAGGCAGGGCGACGGCCGGUGGUUGGGGAUGGGGUCGAUGCUGGCGAUGCAGACGACCCCAGGUUCAUCCAUUGGUCGAGGAGGACGAAGCAGACGGCGGCGCACCUUGUAGACGAAGCCUCGACGCUCGGGGGUGCCGGUGGCCGCGUGAUCGAGCGACGCACGUCGUCGGCAGCGUCGGGUGAGGGAGAAGGGGAUCUGGAGGAGUGGGAGAGGCGGAGAGAGCGAGGAGGGGGCAAGUGGGGAGCGGUGAGCGGAGGGGAGGGCUCGACGCGUCGAGGGGACGGCGCCCUUAUCCCCUCCGGGCGGCGCCGGCGAGCUGGUCGGAUGGGGACGUGCCCCUGUAGCGGUCGCGCCAGGAGAACAGUAGGAGAAGGCGAUCGAUGGGGUAGGUGGGCUGGCUGUUUAGCUAGAUGGGCCAAGUGGCCCGGGGAAAGGGUUUCUCUUUUCUCUUGCUUUGUUUUUUUCAGUUUAUUGUUUUCUAUUUAGUUUCUUUCUAUUUUUAGUUUUAUGAAAUAAAACACUAGCCACUAAAUCAACAUUAGUAAUUUAUGCCACUGCCACAAAUAGUUUGAGGAUUAAAUAAAAUAGUUUAGUAUUUUUAUGAUUUAAAAAGCAUUUAAUAAUUCAUUUUAGCCAUUGUUAUAUUCACAAAAGGGCAUUUAAAUUUCUUACAAAAGUGUUGGGCCACCAUCAUAAUUAGUUAUGGAAUAUUUGCCACACUUUGAACAUUUUGUUCUGCAUGUUUGAGAAAUUUGAAUUCUGAGCUUUAAUUUGAAUUUGAGUUUGAACUAAGAUUAGGAUCAAGCAAGGAUUAGUAACAGUAAUGUGAUGACAUGGCACCGUUAGCGGGGCAUUACUGUAGCUUAAUUACCCGGGCGUCACAAUUCUCCUCCACUACAAGAAAUCUCGUCCCGAGAUUUAGAAGGUAGAAGGAAACAGAGCGGUGUAUUCAUCACGAAGACAAUACUCGCAUUCCCAAGUGGCUUCAUCUUCAGAAGGAUUUGACCACUAAACUUUUUAGAAUUUUGAAAGCCCUCAUACGGGUACGACGUUGAGCUUGAUCGAGAACACGGAUCGGAUGCUCUCUGUAAGUGAGAUCAUCUUGCAGGGGUUGAGCUUUAUAAGCCAUGUGGUUGUUGCAAUAAGACUUGCUACGCAUGGCAUCGGCCAUGACAAUAGCCUUGCCAGGGGUAUAAGAAAUACCAUAGUCAUAGUCCGAAAUUGUUUUCUAUACAUUGCUGUUGACGGAGAUCCAGAUAUAGCUGAGUAAACAGAUACGUCAGACUUCAAUGAUCGGUGAAGAUCUCGCAACGAGUACCAAAAGGAAAUGUCGCCAUAACUUCAAUGCAAACAUUGGUGAAGGAGCGUUAUCAAUUCUGACAAGAGGAGAAGCGUUUAUCGCACUCAAGGAAUGAAUCCGUGCUUCGGCAUUUCGAACAAGAAGAGCCUGGUAGCUUACUAUCUCAUUUGAAGGAUUUAGUAGAUGGACGGUUUUAGUGGCGCAAAUGAUAGAAGCGUUGUGUGUUUACCAGCAUUCAAUUUCAACGGGGAUGUUGUUACUAACCAUGGUGGUCCGACAUUGGCCGCGGAAUGCAGCUUGGAAUUUCGGCCAAGUGAUGGUGGUUCUAACAGGUAAGGAAUGCAUGUGGCUAUUCCACCAUCGAGUAGCGAAACUUUUCAGGUAAUAAGCUGCAAAGGUGACAUAGUUGGCAGGGGCUACAUCAGCAGACUCCAACUCGAAAGUGAUGUCAUGGAGCCAGUCAUUAGCAUCAAGGGGCUAAGUUGACUUGCGGUAGAUGACAGGGUUGAGACGUGAAAAGUCAUGCAGUGUCACUGGGACUGGUUGUUGAUUCAUAUUGGGGCGUGGAAACUAAGCCACGACUCCUUCCAUGAACCGGCGAUUCAGCAUCAAAACUGCUUAUCAUUCCGGAAAUGUAUUCGGGAGGUGGCGGUAUCACCACCACGAUCACGACUAUCGGGUCUAACCAUCCUACUUAAAUGCAACAUGGGGUAGUUGAGCAAGGGGUGGAGCAAGUGCAUAGAGUCAUUCAUGACGUAUCUUGAACAGUGAGCAAAGGAGCAGUAUGUACAAAGUAGUAGUCAUUAAAGACAUACCGAUACAUAUGCGGGGCAACACGCUGUUCGUAUGAGCUCGGACAAGAGAAACAUCAUAGACAUACUAGGCGGCACACAUGCUCGCGAUGGAGGGACACAACAGCGGGACAUAGCAAAGGCUACAUCAACGUCGAGGGAAAACCUCUGGAGUGAGGGAUUAGCAAGUGACGACGCAGGGUGCCCUCGAUAAGAGGAUCAUGCGGUCAGUGAAUAUUGUGAAGCCAAUCUUGGCCCAAAAUUCGAGAAAGGGGUAACACAAACCUCCGGAUGGAUGUGAUCACGAGAUCCUAAUGUUAGAGUUAGCAAAAUCAUUUAACCCGAAUAGAAAAGAGAUUAGAGUCCCAGAGUAUAGACGAGGAGUAAAAGAUCCUAAUACCACCCAUUGGCGACGUGGGCCCGUAAGCCACACAGCCAUGUUAGUAAAUCAGUUUUUCAAAGACUAGACUCAACUUCGGCCAAGGAGUUGGAAAGGGGGUUCCUACAGGCAGUCGGCUCUGAUACCAACUUGUGACACCCCCGACUCGACCGUACGCUAAUCAUACACGCAAAUGUGUACGAUAAGAUCAGGGACUCACGGGAAGAUAUCACAACACAACUCUAGACACAAAUUAAAAUAAUACAAGCUUCAUAUUACAAGCCAGGGGCCUCGAGGGCUCGAAUACAAGCUCGAUACACAAGAGUCAGCGGAAGCAACAAUAUCUGAGUACAGACAUAAGUUAGACAAGGAUGCCUUAAGAAGGCUAGCACAAAAGCAACACGAUCGAAGAGGCAAGGCCUCCUGCCUGGGACCUCCUAACUACUCCUGGUCGUCGGCGGUCUCCACGUAGUAGCAUCCGUCGGCAGUGGCAUCUGACUCCAGGGAUCCACCAUCUGGUUGCAUCAACCGGAAAGAAGAAGGAAGGGGGAAAAGGGGGUAGCAAAGCAACCGUGAGUACUCAUCCAAAGUACUUGGAAGCAUCAGAUCUAAACUAAGUAUGCAUUGGUAUCAAAGGAAGGGUUGUAUAUGUGGACUGAACUGCAGAAUGCCAGAAUAGAGGGGAAGGCCUAGCCUAUCGAAGACUAGCAUCUUCAAGCAGCUCCAAGCAUCUUGCAACAUGUAGAAGAGUAAAGAAUAGCAGUUUAUAUUUAACAAACAUGUUGUAACAUUAAUGCCCAGAGAUCCUUCCUCAACUCCCUGCGAGAAAGCAAUCCCGGAGCCACAUAUCCAUCACAUAUCAAGUAUCCAUUUCUAGUUGUAUAAGAUCAGGAUACAAGUCUGAAUGUCCAUUACCGUGGACACGGUAUUCGAAUAUAUAUCUUCCCUGCAGGGGUGCACCACGUUUUCCCACACGCUCGAUCUCUCUGGCCGGACACACCUUUUUGGGGUCAAUGCCCAGCCUCGGAAUAUCAACACGUCGCAACCCUACCUAGGCUCAGCAGAGAGGUCCCCGCCGGUCUACAUCCUAAGCACUCCGGGGUCUGGGCCCAUCGCCCGGUGCACUCCGGGUCGUUGCGAGCAGGGCGAUACAGGCCACCUCCACUGGGGCGCCGACCAGGCCGUGCCGCAAUGCUGAACUGGACGUCUGACAAAGCUUCGGCUGAUACCACGACGUCGAGGCCCAUAACUAUUCUCGCGUGGUGGUUAGUGCGUAAAGGCCCGAGGCCAACUGAGAACAAAUACUCAAACCUGUUAGUGCAUUAACAAUUAAAGUAGUGACGGCUAUCGGGACAAGUCCGGAGCUAUCACCCCUCCUGGGUGAUACCGCUAAACAGCCAGCCGCCACUGUCACAUCGCACGGGUGCUCUCCGGGCCCGCUCGGCUUUCACAACGGUCUCAAGUAAAGUCAAGGUAACUGUGUGUCCAGACAUCAAGGGGAAAACCCGAGGAAUCACCCCCGGUGGAGUCCACUCAAUGUAAUCAUCAAGGUGAACGUAAGAGGGACCACCCUCGAGGUUCACACUUGAGGUGUUGCACGACAGAGCCGUAUCGGGAAUGUUGAAAGAGGAAAUCACCCUCGAUGACCACGACCGAAUAGCUACACUAUAGAAUUAUCAUCAGGAGUGCGUUAUGAGGGAUCACCCUCGGCACUCGAUAGUAGCUCUGCAUAGUCGAGCAACAAAAGGGGCGUGAUGUGAUGUGAGGUGUCGGGCUCUAGUCGUCGAUCACGUUGGUCGAGUCGUGGAUGAUGAAGCAGGGGCAACAAGGACAAGGUGGGGGUCAUUGAUGGAUCACUAACCAACCUAUACUAAGCAGUUUAGGAUAAGCAGGUAGAUAACAAUAAGCAGGUUACAAAAGCAGGCUAUGCAUCAGAAUAGGAGCAAUCAAAUACAGUAGCAAAAUCUAAUGCAAGCAUGAGAGAAUGGAAUGGGUGAUAUCGGGAUGAUCAAAGGGGGGGCUUGCCUGGGUGCUUAGACAAGAAGGAGGGGUCGUAGUCGACGUAGUCGAUCACAUGGGCAUCAACAACGGUCUCGGGGUCUACCGGAGAGAAGAGGGGGAAGGAACAGUAAAUACAUAGCAAGCAAGAGCAUAACAAGACAACAGGCAGAGCUAGACGUGUUCUAACGCGGUGCUACACGAUACCGGCGAAGGGGGAAACAUCCGGGAAUGUUUCCCGAAGUUUGCAUUUUCGGACUGGCAAAACGGAGGGGGACGGUUGCAGGUUCGCUAUGCUAGAGACGUGUGGCAGACAAACGGGCUGCAUAUUCAGAUUCGUCUCGCCGUUCUGAGCAUCUUUCAUGUAUAAAACUUUUUCAUCCGAGUUACGGAUCAAUUUCUAUGGAUUUCUAAAGUUUUAGCAAUAUUCUAGAUUUUUAAAUUACUUUUAAUUUGAGUUGACCAAGUCAAUUUGACUAGUCAAAAAGGAGAGCUAUGACCCACAUGUCAUGGACUAUUUACCUAAAAAAUAAGUAAACCUAACUUAUUUAAUGGGGGCCUACAUGUCAUCUACUAGUACUAGACUAACUUAGCACCAGUUUAUACUACUAGCUAAACCUAGUACUAAGAAGGGCCGGCCACACACGGCCGUGGCCAAGCCGGUCACACACACCACACACCCACCAUGUAGCUAGGGGUUAAUUCUGUUCUCAGUUAACAGAACAUAGCAUUUUGCGAUUUUCAUGGGAUUUAAUCCAGGCAUCGAAAGGAUUUGGUUGAGUGGGAUAAAAUGAAGUUUGUCAUGUAUACUUUCUACUCAUAUUAUCUUUGCUCAUGUUAGUAGUUGGUUAGCCACCGUUUAAGGACUGCUUAGAGGGUUAGUCAUUGUAAAAAUAGAAAAGCUAGCUAGUAGCUACAAUAGCUACAAGUUCAGUAAGCAGUGGCAGUAGUAGGAUGCAGCAGCAGCGCUGUGCUAACAAGUAGCAGCAGGCGACGGCAGCAACAGGAGGCGGGCGUGGACGACAGGGGAGGGAGCAGCGGGCAGCGGCGCCCGAGGCCACGAGCAGGCGAGGACGGCUAGGGGGAUCGCGGGCGCAGUGGGGCGGGGCGUGGUCUAGGGGCACGAGGCCGCAGCAGGGAACGCGGCUAGCGCAGCGGGAGCGAGGCCAGAGGCAGACACGGCCGGCACGGUGGGGGGUCGGCCGGGCGUGGCCAAGGCGCGUGGGCACGCAGCCAGGAAGCGGCCUAGGGCACGAGGCGGGGAGGCACCUGGGGCAAGGCCAUGGCUCGGUGAGCGCGAGUUCGGUCGGAGCUCGCGUGGCGCGGGGCUGGGAAACGACACAUCAAACAGAGGGAAAGACAAAGGGAAUCGACGCGGGCUCACCCUGGGGAGGCCGUGGACGAGCUUGCCGAGGUCGGGGAGUUUCCGUCGAGGAGAUCCGGCGAGGCAGGGCGACGGCCGGUGGUUGGGGAUGGGGUCGAUGCUGGCGAUGCAGACGACCCCAGGUUCAUCCAUUGGUCGAGGAGGACGAAGCAUACGGCGGCGCACCUCGUAGACGAAGCCUCGACGCUCGGGGGUGCCGGUGGCCGCGUGAUCGAGCGACGCACGUCGCCGGCAACGUCGGGUGAGGGAGAAGGGGAUCUGGAGGAGUGGGAGAGGCGGAGAGAGCGAGGAGGGGGCAAGUGGGGAGCGGUGAG
rnacentral:lncRNA from 1 species